AACGGAAGCCCCCCUCUCUAAACAUUCCUUCCACCUGCUAGAUGCGGCAGUGGCUGGCGAAGAUGGUGUCUCAGCAGAAGAAGGGAGGUGCGAUGACGGAGGAGGUGGCUACAGCUACCGGCGUGGUGGUGGGAGACCGCCGGAUCUAGCAGCCUGGAGGUCGAGGGCCACCAGAUCUAGAUGACUCCGACCUUCAUGGUGAUGGUUUGGGAGGUAUGAUGGUGUUGGCGGGUUGGAGCUGCGACACCAUCAGCGGCUGGCGGAUGCGCAUCUUCCCCUCCCUCAUUCAAUUCUUGUGAUUAUUGAUGUUUAUUCAUGUUAUCUAGGGUCUUCAUCUUGAGGAUCUGGAUGUGUUGUUUGUUUGGAGUUUAUUGAUUGUAGUUAAUGUGUUCAUGGAUUUGGGGCAUUAUUUUGGGUGAUUUGAGGCAUCAUUUGGGAUCCGGGGUAUUUCAAGGAUAUGCAACCUUGAUGUAUCAGCUUGAAUGCACCGAGCCGAUUUUUUUAAGCUCGUGUGCACCUCAAAGGUGUCAUUUGUGAAACUGGCACCAAUAACCAGGGUUCAUCAGCGCCGCAUCGGUCAUGCGUUUUCUAUAAUAGUGAGAGUCUUUUGUCUAUAAAUGAAUGCACAUUUUAACUUUCUUAAAAAAAAGGUG
rnacentral:sRNA from 1 species